rnacentral:lncRNA from 1 species
CAUCUUUUGCAGCACAUACACACCUUAGACCAUGAUUAGCACACAUAGAAUCAAGUUCAUCCCACACACUUUUCAGUUUGUUGAAAUAAGAAGCAACAUCUGAGGACCCUUGAGAGGUGUGGGACAUCUCUCUUUUCAGUUCAUAUAUUUUAGUCCUGUUUGCAGUCCCAUAUCUGGUCUGGAGUUGAGACCAUAUGCUCUGUGCAGCGUCAGCAUACUGCACAGAUUCAGCAAUUGCAGGGGAAAGGGAAG